ACGGGAGGCAGCAGUGGGGAAUCUUGCGCAAUGGGCGAAAGCCUGACGCAGCGACGCCGCGUGGGGGAAGAAGGCCUUCGGGUUGUAAACCUCUUUCAGCAGGGACGAAGCCACUCGGGUGAAUAGCCCAGAGGGUGACGGUACCUGCAGAAGAAGCCCCGGCUAACUACGUGCCAGCAGCCGCGGUAAUACGUAGGGGGCAAGCGUUGUCCGGAUUUAUUGGGCGUAAAGAGCGUGUAGGCGGCCAGACAGGUCCGUUGUGAAAACUAGAGGCUUAACCUCUAGACGUCGAUGGAAACCGUCUGGCUAGAGUCCGGAAGAGGAGAAUGGAAUUCCUGGUGUAGCGGUGAAAUGCGCAGAUAUCAGGAAGAACACCCGUGGCUAAGGCGGUUCUCUAGUACGGUACUGACGCUGAGACGCGAAAGCGUGGGGAGCGAACAGGAUUAGAUACCCUGGUA
rnacentral:rRNA from 1 species